rnacentral:rRNA from 1 species
GGUCACACCCGUUCCCAUACCGAACACGGAAGUUAAGCUCUUCAGCGCCGAUGGUAGUUGGGGGUUUCCCCCUGUGAGAGUAGGACGUCGCCG